GGCCCGAUCGCCAAGCGGUAAGGCAACGGUUUGCAAAACCGUCAUUCGCCGGUUCGAUUCCGGCUCGGGCCU
rnacentral:tRNA from 1 species